AACGAACGCUGGCGGCAGGCCUAACACAUGCAAGUCGAGCGGACCUUUCGGGGUCAGCGGCGGACGGGUGAGUAACGCGUGGGAAUAUGCCCUUCUCUACGGAAUAGUCCUGGGAAACUGGGGGUAAUACCGUAUACGCCCUUUGGGGGAAAGAUUUAUCGGGGAAGGAUUAGCCCGCGUUGGAUUAGGUAGUUGGUGGGGUAUGGCCUACCAAGCCGACGAUCCAUAGCUGGUUUGAGAGGAUGAUCAGCCACACUGGGACUGAGACACGGCCCAGACUCCUACGGGAGGCAGCAGUGGGGAAUCUUAGACAAUGGGGGCAACCCUGAUCUAGCCAUGCCGCGUGAGUGAUGAAGGCCUUAGGGUUGUAAAGCUCUUUCAGCUGGGAAGAUAAUGACGGUACCAGCAGAAGAAGCCCCGGCUAACUCCGUG
rnacentral:rRNA from 1 species